UGCGCAGGCGGACCUAUUAGUCAGUGGUGAAAUCCCGGGGCUCAACUCCGGAACUGCCAUUGAUACUGUAGGUCUUGAGUUUGGUUGAAGUGCGCGGAAUAUAGCAUGUAGCGGUGAAAUGCAUAGAUAUGCUACAGAACACCGAUCGCGAAGGCAGCUCACUAAACCAAAACUGACGCUCAGGCACGAAAGCGUGGGUAGCGAACAGGAUUAGAUACCCUGGUAGUCC
rnacentral:rRNA from 1 species